UAAUACCUAUGUGAGAGAGGCAGGUGGUUGAGAGGAGGUUUGGAGGUGGUGAAGAAGAGCUUUCUGGGUUUUACUGAGUUUUCUUAUGUUCUGCUGGGUGCUUCCUGAAUAAGUCAAGAAGAAAUAGAAAAACCUUCUGUUCCGGAAAUCAGCUGAACUAAGUGAUCUUCAGAUUAACUGAAAACAGGUGUCAGCACGCUCUAGAAUUGCCAGCAUUAGUGUAUGGCUCCUGUGAGCUUGCAGAGAUGGGCUGGUGAUGGGCCCUGGGGGUGAAGCUGGGCGUUGUUUGGGUUCCUCCUCCUGCUGUCGUCUCUCUACACUCCCUUACAGUGUGAAGAUGGGCUCUUGUAAUGCAGCCUAGUGGUAAUUAAUACAAUGUGCUGUCUUAUUUAUAACAGGCUGUGUUUGCUAGUUCUGAGUCAAAAGUGAAAACAGUAAUUCUCCACUGCAAUGUGUAAAAUCUGCAGAGAGGAUGUUCUGUCCUGAAGGAAUUGAAGAGUUGGUCUUGGAUUCCAUUGCUGAGAAUUCUGUUAUGUAUUCACCUUUGCAUUUCCCCUUAAAAUGCUCUUCAUAACUGAUCUUUCUGACUUGUUUUUAGUGGAUUCAGACUGCAGCAUGCUUAUGUGAACCAACCAACAGCAUGUUCUUGUCUUUCGCAGACAAGCAUAGAAUUUAAAAUUACUCUUAGAACUCUUUAUUCCUUUCCAGCUAUUUGUUGUGUUGCAUAUUUACAAGGUCAGGCAGCACCUCCAGAAUUGAGUUAUUUUGAUGCGAUGGUAUUGCUCUAUAGAGAAGUUUUGCUUGUGAUCAUGUCAGCAGGAAAAUAGUUCAAACAGCCUUGUUAUUCAGAGUUCGCAAGGGUUCAGUCUGCAGUGCAUACAACUGCUGGUUGCGGUCUGAGCACAGUGGAGCUGAGUGGACUGUGAGAGUGGGAUGGAUUCUCUUUAUCAGGGAGCUGGGAUUUUUCAGAAAGGUAUCAGCUGCCUGGGAAGAUGCGUGAGGCUGCCAUCUGUGGGGGUGAAACUUCUUUCUUUGUUGUGCUUCAGGCUAGUGUCAGGAUGAAUAUCACUGGGAAAGGAGCUUGUUAGCCAAAUCACUGCUUACUAACGUAAUGUUUUUAAAAUGAUGAGUCCAAAUUCAAAAAAACUAAACAGCUUUAUCUGUUAUCAUGUAACUGUCUCUUCAUCUUCUCUCAUCUGCUCGUUGUGAAUGUGUUGGUUAUCCACAGGGAAGCACAUAAUUUAUAGGAAGAAAGUCUUAAACUAAAGGAAACAAAGUUCUCACUGGAAGCACUUUACAUGCUGAACUUGAGUAAUGGGAUGCAGAUGCUCAAGGAAAGUACAGAUGGGUGCCAGGUCUCUAGUAUGCAUUUCAGUGGUUCUGAGGGUGUGUGGUGCUGCCUUUGUUCUGAUCACAACCAUGUUUCACCAUUGGUGUGAAAAGCCAUGAUCAAAGUGUUGCAGAGGACCACCAUAUAUCUAAGUUGAGUACCAGGUUUGGCUGAGGUCUUCUCUUCUAGGAGGUAUUUUGUGAUUCUAAGAGAGGAAAAAAGUUUGUUAGAAAAGCUCCUUCUUAUCCAAUUGAAAUCCUCACAGAUGAUA